rnacentral:rRNA from 1 species
CGGCAUAUGAGAUGCUCACCUGUGUGGGUGAUCUCUUCUUAAAGGGACUGACUACGCUUAGUGCUCGGAAGUUUGAGGCAAUAACAGGUCUGUGAUGCCCUUAAAUGUUCUGGGCCGCACGCGCGCUACACUGACAAAGGCAACCAGUAUACAACCUUGGCCGGAAGGGCUGGGCAAUCUUUUUAAACUCUGUCCUGCUGGG